GGCGCGACCGCCAUCUUAGGGACGGGAAGCCUGGCCUCGAAGCCCGCCCCGGCGCCAUCUCGCUCGAGGGAAAGAAAAGAUGGGGGCCGGGCGUGUUGAGGACGUGGUUGUUGACUGGCCGGGCGCGCCUGCGCGGUGAACGCUUCUUGAAUCUCCAGUUUGGAAGAACGCAUCUCAUCUUUGGAGAAACAAAGCCAGCUUUGGCAUCUUCUCUAAGAAAAUCAUCUUUAUAUCGUGGUUUUUUUUUAAAAAAAAAAAGUUUUAAUCUGUGUUGUUUCAACAUUUUAAUACGCUUAAAUUGUUUUUUCUAUUUGUUUUACAACCUGUAAGCAGCUCAGAGAUGGACAGCAUUAACAGUUUAAUAAUAGAUAAUGAUAAUAAAAAAUGUCACUUCCUGACUGCCCAGAACUGGUAUUUUACAAGGCCAGGGUACUCUUGACAUGCCUAGAGGCACUGUUCUCAAGCUAACUAUAUCCGAAUGACACAGUUUCAUCCUACCACAGUUGGUCCCAGCAGUCUCUAUUUAUCAUCAAACAGAGAGGAGAAACUGUGUAGCCUUCCAGAGGUGCAAUAUAUGUUUUAUAUACAGUAUGUAUUAAUUAUAUUCUAUUCUAUAUGAACUGACAGUCCUUGAUUUACAAUCCAUUUAGCAACCGUUCGAACUUACAACAGCGCUGAAAAAACUGAAUUACGACUGGUCCUUCAUUUAAUACCAUUGCAGCACUCGCCCGAUUGUGCGAUAAAAAUUUAGGUGUUUUGACAACCAGCACAGAUUUUUUUAUAAUGGUUUGCAACAUCCUGGGAUCGUGUGAAUCCCAUUUGCAACUUUCCCAGCCAGCUUCCAGUUAGCAAAACGGGGGAAGCUAGAUUCAUUCAACAAUCAUACAAUUCACGUAAGAACUGCAGUUAACUGUGGCAAAAACGGGUCAUAAUUGACUUGCCAUCCCAAUUGUGGUCACUAAAUGAGGACUCCCUGUGGUUCUAAUAUUAGAGACAAAAUCAAUUUUUUUUAACUGUUGCAGUUUUCCGUUUGCCUCUUAUACGUUCUUUCUCUGGACGCAGUUUACCGCUUCCUCUAGAAAUGAGAUAUGAAGACGAAGUUGCAUGCCACAAAAUAAACUAUAAACAGCCAAAACUGGGUUAGGAACAAAUUGUCUACAUUUUAUUUGUUUUUGUUUUUUUUUAAAUAACAAUCUUCCGUAUGAAUUCCAGGAAAAUUCGGAUCAUACUCUCACUCCUCCAAUAUAUACAAACAUACACGCACUUCCAUACAGAAGGAUAUUUUUUUUUCCCUCAAAUAAAUGCAUUUCGUAAGCCGAACAAAUGCUUGGGAUAAAAAUGCUGAAAAAUAUAGUUGACAUGCCAUGUUAGAGCACAUACAACUUGCAUUCAGGCUCUGCAAGUCCCACUCUUAAUGCAAAGAAUCAGAGGCAUAAAUAUUGCAAGAUAUCUGCAUUAACAGAUAUGUAUUUCAAGCUUCUUUUAAAUGGAUUACGUCUGUUGGACGCACACUCUAUUUUGCAUAUCCUUAAGUGUCAAAAGGGCUUGGCGAAUCAUGCUAAAAUUAUCAUACUCGCUUCGUAAAUUUAAACAUAUUUUUUGGGGCCUGGUCUAUCGCGGUACCUAUUUCAUUAUACAGUGUCAUGCCAUCUCUCUACAGUUAAAACUUCAUGCAAUUAUUUCUAGCUAGGGGUACUUCAUUAAACUUAAGGGCUUUUGAGAAGGAAAAAAAAAAAGAUACA